rnacentral:rRNA from 1 species
UGAACGCUGGCGGCAUGCCUUACACAUGCAAGUCGAACGGCAGCACGGGUGCUUGCACCUGGUGGCGAGUGGCGAACGGGUGAGUAAUACAUCGGAACAUGUCCUGUAGUGGGGGAUAGCCCGGCGAAAGCCGGAUUAAUACCGCAUACGAUCUACGGAUGAAAGCGGGGGACCUUCGGGCCUCGCGCUAUAGGGUUGGCCGAUGGCUGAUUAGCUAGUUGGUGGGGUAAAGGCCUACCAAGGCGACGAUCAGUAGCUGGUCUGAGAGGACGACCAGCCACACUGGGGCUGAGACACGGCCCAGACUCCUACGGGAGGCAGCAGUGGGGAAUUUUGGACAAUGGGCGAAAGCCUGAUCCAGCAAUGCCGCGUGUGUGAAGAAGGCCUUCGGGUUGUAAAGCACUUUUGUCCGGAAAGAAAUCCUUGGCUCUAAUACAGUCGGGGGAUGACGGUACCGGAAGAAUAAGCACCGGCUAACUACGUGCCAGCAGCCGCGGUAAUACGUAGGGUGCGAGCGUUAAUCGGAAUUACUGGGCGUAAAGCGUGCGCAGGCGGUUUGCUAAGACCGAUGUGAAAUCCCCGGGCUCAACCUGGGAACUGCAUUGGUGACUGGCAGGCUAGAGUAUGGCAGAGGGGGGUAGAAUUCCACGUGUAGCAGUGAAAUGCGUAGAGAUGUGGAGGAAUACCGAUGGCGAAGGCAGCCCCCUGGGCCAAUACUGACGCUCAUGCACGAAAGCGUGGGGAGCAAACAGGAUUAGAUACCCUGGUAGUCCACGCCCUAAACGAUGUCAACUAGUUGUUGGGGAUUCAUUUCCUUAGUAACGUAGCUAACGCGUGAAGUUGACCGCCUGGGGAGUACGGUCGCAAGAUUAAAACUCAAAGGAAUUGACGGGGACCCGCACAAGCGGUGGAUGAUGUGGAUUAACUCGAUGCAACGCGAAAAACCUUACCUACCCUUGACAUGGUCGGAAUCCCGCUGAGAGGUGGGAGUGCUCGAAAGAGAACCGGCGCACAGGUGCUGCAUGGCUGUCGUCAGCUCGUGUCGUGAGAUGUUGGGUUAAGUCCCGCAACGAGCGCAACCCUUGUCCUUAGUUGCUACGCAAGAGCACUCUAAGGAGACUGCCGGUGACAAACCGGAGGAAGGUGGGGAUGACGUCAAGUCCUCAUGGCCCUUAUGGGUAGGGCUUCACACGUCAUACAAUGGUCGGAACAGAGGGUUGCCAACCCGCGAGGGGGAGCUAAUCCCAGAAAACCGAUCGUAGUCCGGAUUGCACUCUGCAACUCGAGUGCAUGAAGCUGGAAUCGCUAGUAAUCGCGGAUCAGCAUGCCGCGGUGAAUACGUUCCCGGGUCUUGUACACACCGCCCGUCA